GCCAGGUAUGGUGGCACACACCUGUAAUCCCAGCUGCUUGGGAGGCUGAGGCAGGAGGAUUUCAAGUUCAAAUCCAGCCUCAG
rnacentral:sRNA from 1 species